rnacentral:misc_RNA from 1 species
GUAGGUGAACCUGCGGAAGGAUCAUUAUCGAGUUUUGUGUGGGUUUGAUGCUGGCCUCCUUAACCAGAGGCACGUGCUCGCCCCGCUCAUCCACUCAACCCCAUGUGCACUCUUGAGAUGUGGCCCUCCGUAAUGGGAGCAGUUCCCUUUCACGAGGUCGAGCCGGGGCCGCAUCUCCCCCCUUCACACAAACCUAUCAAAAGUAUCACAGAAUGUAACCUUGCGUUAAAUAAAUACAACUUUCAACAACGGAUCUCUUGGCUCUC